AUGUUUUAAAAAUGGAUAUUUAUAUUUAAAUAAAAUAAUCCAUUUUGGAUUAAAUUCAUUUGUUUCUAUAAAUAUUUUACACCAUAUAUUUGAAAUCUUAUUUGACAAAGUUCCACAAAACUCAUGUGUGUUCAUCUAACUAAUAGUGAAGUAAAUGCAUGUUUAAAAUGUUGCUUUCAACAUAUUUUAAAGAACAUCAGAAGUAUUGUUAGUUCAUUACACUGUAUCUGAUUCCAUGGUUUAGAAACAGAUUUCUUGUAUUCUACAGUGAUUAUCAGCUUAUCAAUUACUUUCUGUGUUAACUGAAAGUCAAUUAAAGGAAUGUGACAAAAGUCAUGGGAUAGCAGUUUGUAAAUGAAUGAUGAAAUGUUAAAUCAGGGGAUGGCUUGGGGUACACCCACACCUGUGUAGGUUGUGAUGUUUGUUGUGAUCUUGUGAAUGAUGCUGAACACUGAGCUGUGUGUUUAUGAAUGAUCAGAGUUAAUGCGAGGUCUGAUAGUGGAUAAAAGUGAGAUAGAUGGGACUUUAUUUUGAAGACAUUUUUCAGGCUUUUAAAUUCCUCAAUCCAUAGCAUCACUUGGAGUUGUACUGGGAAUACUUCCAAAAUAGGCAUUACCACCCACAGUGGACAGAGCAGUUGGUUGUAAUGAUCUUGGUUGGCGAUGUCUGAUGUCUAGGACUGUUCAUGCAUUCAGACAAGAGACAACCAUACACAGUUAAUGCAGGAGACCACACACACACACACACACAUCCUGCACAUCAGUGUAGUGUUCCUUUGCCUCCACUGGACAUGGUUAAAUGACAUGAUACUAGCUCUGGUUUAAUGACUUCUGGCACGUUAAUGUAUAUACUGCUAGUGUUUGUAAUCUACUAAUCCAUGUACUACACACAUGUAUCAGUAUCAUAAUGCUAUUGAAAUUUUAUCUUUGUUUGAAAUAAGUUUUUUUAAUAUAUGUUCUUGUGUUGCUAAUAAAUAUAUGAUAAACCAUGAAGUGCAAUGAGCAUUUGUUACAGACAAAUAAAUAGAAUAUCUGUGUGUUAAUGAA